rnacentral:lncRNA from 13 species
AUGUGGUGGCCCCUGAGCACUGGGAAGCGACAAAGCAGCGCUGGGCCUGCAAACAUUCUGAGAGGUUUGCUUCUCAUAAGCAUCCUAACCGGGUCCCAUGCAAUUCAAAAGAGACAAAACAUGUGGGUCACCCUAGCUGAAUUAACGGGGCAAGACUCCAUGUGUCUGAGCCUGGCCACGCCAGCGGACCCAUUUUGCAGCUGUUUAAUCGGGGUCCCACAUUUUAACCUGCAAGACUUCCGAGGGAUGCCAGACAACAGCUCCCUGAUAGGGAACGCCACAAACAAUGGCAAGUGUUCAGGGCUGAUCGGACUCAAGCCUGCGCAGCAGCAUGCCUGCUGGCAAGGUGCAUUCUUGAAAAGCAUCAAUGUCACCAUGGGAACACCAGAAGAGUUAGAUCUACUGGGUUCCACAAACCAAACUGGGGAUGGUUACAUGACAUUUGAGCCUCCCACUACCAGUCAAUUAAAUGUUAAUAAGCACCUUUGGGCCACUGUUGACCCUCUUGCAGACUGGUUUCUGAGAAACUACAAGUCCGAAGCAACGUACCACCGAAUCAACCUCACAGGUCAAGCCCCGAAACGCCUCCCCAGUGGUAUGUUCUUAAUAUGCGGGGACCGUGCGUGGAAUGGGGUUCCCGCCAGCCCACAUGAGGGACCGUGCUACUUAGGGACACUCACCCUGUUCCAUCCAGGCCUGCAUCAACUCUUAAAUAUCACCCACCGCACCAAAACCAGGGUGCGGCAUUCAAUCCAUGAGCUCCAAUGUAAAAGAAAUGAAGAGCCUGUCUUCUGGAGUCAUGGUAUAAUUUGGCUAGCAUCUAUGUUUUUACCUGGUGCUUCAGCAGCCAGGGCUCAUGUGAUUUUGCGUAAACUUGCGUGCUGGGCGAGGGAUGAACUAAACAUAACUUCGCAGAUGCUUGACGAGCUAAGCGCAGAUGUUACUAGUGUUAGGCAUGCAGUAUUACAAAAUUGGGCAGCCAUUGAUUUUCUACUACUAGCUCACGGCCACGGCUGUGAAGAGUUCCAGGGUAUGUGCUGUAUGAAUCUUUCUGACCACUCUGUCUCAGUUCACAAGCACCUCUCUGAUCUCCAGAGGGGUCUGCACAACCUUCGGGAGACAGACGACCCUAUUGGAGAUUGGCUUAAGGGUCUGGGUAUCACCCGAUGGCUGUGUACCUUGGUAGUAGCAGGCUGCCAAUUGCUCUUUGUAGUUAUAUUAGGCUUAAUAGUACUUGGGUGUAUUUUUUCUUGCCUUAAAGCGGGGCUGCGAAAGAUCAUCAACCAGGCCUGGGUUGCCCAAAAAGAAAACGGGGGAUGUGUAGAGGGAUUCCUUGUGGAACAGGGGCAUAUGAUACCCCAGGACAGUCUGGGCAGUCUGGGCAACCCUGGGUUGCUAGGGAAGAACCCCUGA